GCUUGUACCGCGUUUCGAUGCCGGAGUUGUCUUAAGAGAUCUAGUUGCCGGCGCACAAUUGGCUGAGGGCGACACGAGUGGAACUGGCGAUGCCUAGGAGGACCUGAUUUCUUCUGUGCCGAUAAGACCAGCUGGAGGCCGCAUGGAUUACAAAGGGGGCGAGGAUAUUGGUGAAACAGUGCGCACUGGGAGGGGUGUGUGCGGCUCGUAUGAUCUUGGCGGCGAAGGGAUGGAUGAUUCCUGCGAGAUAGACGAUUCAUAUAUUGCGUCUGAUGCCGGGAACGAGGGUGCGGACGAGGAGGGCGUGGGAGUAACCAAUACGAAUCAAUCUUCUUGGACCAGGAGGGUCAGAGUUGGGAAGGCAAAGGAUGAGAGGGAGCCGAGCCCUUCAAGGAUGCCUCCCCUUGAAGCUUCUGUCCGUGCAUAUGUCGAUAAAAAAUCAGGAAAUGUUGGCAAUCCAUCGAUUGGGACUAGUUUUGAUUCUGUCGAAGAAGGCUACGAGUUUUACAGUAUGUAUUCCUGGGAGGCCGUCUGAAUGUACACCGGAAAAAAUGCAUGCAGGAGAUUGUGUAGGCAGAGAAGUGAGAGUGCAAACCACCUACUGAAAGGGUAUGUACCACCAGGGUGCCCCAUGCACUUGUUCAUCAGGCAGUAUGAGAAAAAUGCAAUUUGACCGUGACUCAGAAGAAAGUUACCAGGAGAAAAGGACAAAACUAUGGGUUGUCCUGAAGCAAAAUAUCCCAAAUGAGGUGCAUGCAGCGCAGGUUUAUACCAGCGCUGUAUGAACCUGGGUUGUAUGAUCUAGUAGAAGUCAAGCCGCAUUUGGAGUACAUUGCUAGGCACAUCAAAUUUCAGUCGAGGGAAAAGCGGUGCAAGAAUGAGUUUGUGAUCUCCGUGAGCGAGUCGGCUGAUGAGUUCGGGUGCGAGUGUGGGACAUUCGAGCACUAUGCAAUGGUUUGCAGCCAUGCACUUAAGGUCAUGAUACACCUGAAUUUGCAUGAGCUCCCUGCGAAGCAUGUGCUCAGGCGAUGGACUAGAUAUGCAAGAGAUAUACUACCGCCAGAGUAUCUGCGCUACCAGAAGGAUCAUCGACCGCUGAAGUAUUCUUCUCGUCAACGCAACACUUUGUACCUGCUAGCGCUUGAUGCCGUUAAGUUAGGCGACAGCAAUGUGGAAGCAUGUGCAUUUGCUAUGGAGAAAAUGCGAGAUGUCAAAGUGCAGGUCGAGCCAGUUGCCGCCAUGAGGGAUGGGCUUGGUUUGUCUGAUAUAGAGUUGGCUACAGAUUCAGCCGGCUCUGGCAUUGGUAACAAACAGCACUUUGGCCGAACUGGGUCUGAGCAGACCAUUUCGCAAGGAUCAGACGUGUUCCUGACGCCGUCAAGGAAACGACCGGCUGGGCGUCCCACAACUAGCCGCAACAAAGCUCCAUACGAGGAACCAUCAAAAGAGGAGUAGAUUAUGUUAUGUAUGCGGAGUUCAGGGACACAAGAGCACAACAUGCCUUGCUCGGGGGAUGUGCCAAAGGCACCUAGGAAAUCUCCUCGCUGCUCAAAAUGUGGGUUAACAGGGCACAGGAACACAUGCAGCAACCCGGUUAAAGUCUGAAAAAACUUAAUUUCAGUGUUGUUUACUGGUGGUAUGCAUUUGGCUAUGUCACCUUUGUUAUUAGAAACAGUCUCUGGAACGAGCUGAGGAAUAAGAAGACGCCAUGACUACGGUUAUGGGGAGAGGUUCAGAAGAGUCGAAAGCUUUGGUUGUGCUGAAAUGGACACGUCCGCUGCUGUUCUUCUGCG
rnacentral:rRNA from 1 species